rnacentral:rRNA from 1 species
AGCUCUGUAAGCGUAUACCAAAGUUGUUGCAGUUAAAACGCUCGUAGUCGAAUUUUGGCGGGCGGCGUGGGGCGUUCGCGAGAAUGUUCUUACGUUGGCCGCCUUUGUGGAUGGGGGCUCGGUGGCGCUUUAUUGCUUCGCCGAGUCACCGCCACCGUUUACUGUGAAAAAAUUAGAGUGUUCAAAGCGGGCGAUUGCCACGAAUACAUUAGCAUGGAAUAAUAGAAUAGGACCUGGGUCUUAUUUUGUUGGUACUGUUAAGUUCAGGUAAUGAUUAAGAGGGACGGUUGGGGGCAUUUGUAUUCCGGCGCUAGAGGUGAAAUUCUUGGAUUGCCGGAAGACAAACAGCUGCGAAAGCGUCUGCCAAGGACGUUUUCA